rnacentral:rRNA from 1 species
AAUCAACGCUGGCGGCGUGCCUAACACAUGCAAGUCGAACGCGAAAGCCCGCAAGGGUAAGUAGAGUGGCGCACGGGUGAGUAACACGUGGACAACCUGCCUUCGAGUGGGGAAUAACCUUCCGAAAGGAGGGCUAAUACCGCAUAACACCUCGGGACACAAGUUCUGGGGUUGAAAAGAGCAAUUUGCUCGAAGAGGGGUCCGCGCCUGAUUAGCUAGUUGGUGAGGUAACGGCUCACCAAGGCUUCGAUCAGUAGCCGUCCUGAGAGGGAGCACGGCCACACUGGAACUGAGACACGGUCCAGACUCCUACGGGAGGCAGCAGUGGGGAAUUUUGGCAAUGGGCGAAAGCCUGACCAAGCAACGCCGCGUGGGUGAUGAAGUAUCUUGGUACGUAAAACCCUUUCGGCAGGGACGAACCUAAUGACGGUACCUGCGGAAGAAGCCCCGGCUAACUCCGUGCCAGCAGCCGCGGUAAC